GUUUGUUUGUUUGUUUGUUUUAAAUGGGAUUUUGGUUAAGAGCCUGAAAUAAGGUCUCUGGUGAACACAAGCUCAGAAUAUUUUCACGUUUUAUCCUACGACAUAAAAUACACCAGUAAUACCCCACUAAUGAUUUAAAAAAAUAAUAAUAAUAAUAAAAAAAAAUUAUGAUUUGAAAAAGGUUGUUGCUAACAAGUUGCUAAAUGGGACUACAGCCAUUGUCGGGGACAUUAAACGUCUUCACGCCGAACAGGACUAAACUUCACAGAUAAACUGGUUCAGGGUCAUGGUGGAUCCUGAGUCUAUCCCAGGAACACUGGACGUGAGACAGGAAUGCACCUUGGAUGGGAUGCCAGUUCAUCGCAGAGCACCACACACAUACAUUCACACCACCGGGAUGGAAGUGAAUCAGUUUGCCCUUUAUCUGAACAGGAAUGGGUUUGAUGCUGCACUUGCCUGGAGGUGCUCGCCUAAAAGAUAUAAAGACGUGGCAUCAUGCUUAGCUUCACCAAAAUAAUCACGGAAUAGUAAACUGCUUGCAGAUGAGUGAUCCAGCAUGUUCAUAUCCGUGUCUGACAAAAGGAACUCGCUGAUCCUUAUCCUCUCCUGCUUGCUCACAGAUACAGAGUAAUAGACAUAUGCCUUCUUGACCAUGCUGAACCUAGGGUGCAGGGCAAUACAGAGAAAUCCACGUUCAUCCCCAGCCCACGGGGAGGUCAACACUGCUUUGGUGAGAUUUAGGAAGGGCCUGUCAAUCCUUGAACCAUUUGGGAGGUAAGUCCAUACAUAUCCCAGCUGCUCAGCUAUGAAGAAUCUGUGUGUGCCGUCAUUUGCAUGCACCAUUGCCACUGGAUUACGCAGGCCAUUUGCUACUUCCUGUAGGCAAAGCUGAAUGCAGCCCUUGGGAUCAGCUUGAACGUUGCCCAGAUUAGCAUUUAACUCGUCGCUGGUGAGAACGUUGGGAUAGCAAUACUCUGGAUCCUUCAGCUCCAAAUGGUCACAGAAUUUUUCCCGAUCCUCCUCAAUGAUGGCAGUGAUGUUGUUGUCUGUCAGCAGACUAAGUGUGUAACGGCAGUGAUGCCAGAAAUCAGAGCAGUAGUCACGGCAAAGGCCGGGGAGCUCACGCAUGGGAGUAUUCGCAUCCUCAGCAUCAUACAGAAGCGCAGCGGCUCCUGAGGUUGGAAAGGAGGCUUGUAGUCCAGGCAUUGCGGGUGGGCAUCUGUAUGCAAGAAGCUCAGGAGGAGCCAAAGCAGAAAGUGGAGAAGCCCAGCUCUCCAGA